UACGGAGGGAGCUAGCGUUGUUCGGAAUUACUGGGCGUAAAGGGCGCGUAGGCGGCCUGUUAAGUCGAACGUGAAAUCCCCGGGCUCAACCCGGGAACUGCGUCCGAAACUGGCAGGCUCGAAUCCGGGAGAGGGAUGCGGAAUUCCAGGUGUAGCGGUGAAAUGCGUAGAUAUCUGGAGGAACACCGGUGGCGAAGGCGGCAUCCUGGACCGACACUGACACUGAGGAGCGAAAGCCAGGGGAGCAAACGGG
rnacentral:rRNA from 1 species